GAGUUUGAUCGUGGCUCAGGAUGAACGCUGGCGGCGUGCUUAACACAUGCAAGUCGAACGGAACUUGUAAGUGGAAGUCUUCGGAUGGAAACUUACUUGUUUAGUGGCGGACGGGUGAGUAACGCGUGGGUAACCUGCCUUACACAGGGGGGAUAACAGCCGGAAACGGCUGCUAAUACCGCAUAAGCGCACAGCUUCGCAUGGAGUGGUGUGAAAAGAUUUUAUCGGUGUAAGAUGGACCCGCGUCUGAUUAGCUAGUUGGUGGGGUAACGGCCUACCAAGGCAACGAUCAGUAGCCGGCUUGAGAGAGUGAACGGCCACAUUGGGACUGAGACACGGCCCAAACUCCUACGGGAGGCAGCAGUGGGGAAUAUUGCACAAUGGGCGAAAGCCUGAUGCAGCGACGCCGCGUGAGUGAAGAAGUAUUUCGGUAUGUAAAGCUCUAUCAGCAGGGACGAAUAAAUGACGGUACCUGACUAAGAAGCCCGGCUAACUACGUGCCAGCCGCCG
rnacentral:rRNA from 1 species